rnacentral:rRNA from 1 species
GUGUCAGCCGCCGCGGUAAUACGUAGGCAGCGAGCGUUGUUCGGAAUUACUGGGCGUAAAGAGUGUGUAGGCGGUUUUCCAAGUUUGGUGUGAAAUCUCCCGGCUUAACUGGGAGGGUGCGCCGAAAACUGGAAGGCUCGAGUAUGGGAGAGGGAAGCGGAAUUCCUGGUGUAGCGGUGAAAUGCGUAGAUAUCAGGAGGAACACCUGUGGUGUAGGCGGCUUCCUGGACCAUUACUGACGCUGAGACACGAAAGCGUGGGGAGCAAACAGGAUUAGAUACCCCCGUAGUCC